rnacentral:rRNA from 1 species
AAUCAACGCUGGCGGCGUGCCUCAGACAUGCAAGUCGAGGGGCAGCACGGUUAGCAAUAACUGGUGGCGACCGGCGCACGGGUGCGUAACACGUAUACAAUCUACCUUAAACAGGGGGAUAGCCUUUCGAAAGAGAGAUUAAUACCCCGUAAUAAAUUGAACGGCAUCGUUUGAUUUUGAAAGCUCCGGCGGUUUGAGAUGAGUAUGCGUCUGAUUAGCUAGUUGGUGAGGUAACGGCUCACCAAGGCGACGAUCAGUAGGGGAUCUGAGAGGACUAACCCCCACACUGGUACUGAGACACGGACCAGACUCCUACGGGAGGCAGCAGUAAGGAAUAUUGGUCAAUGGGAGGCAACUCUGAACCAGCCAUGCCGCGUGCAGGAUGACGGCCCUAUGGGUUGUAAACUGCUUUUAUACAAGAGAAAACCCUGGUACGUGUACCAGGUUGAUAGUAUUGUAAGAAUAAGCAUCGGCUAACUUCGUGCCAGCAGCCGCGGUAAU